rnacentral:rRNA from 1 species
AACGAACGCUGGCGGCAUGCCUAACACAUGCAAGUCGAACGAGACCUUCGGGUCUAGUGGCGCACGGGUGCGUAACGCGUGGGAACCUGCCCUUAGGUUCGGAAUAACUCCCCGAAAGGGGUGCUAAUACCGGAUAAUGUCUUCGGACCAAAGAUUUAUCGCCUUUGGAUGGGCCCGCGUUGGAUAGCUAGUUGGUAGGGUAAAAGCCUACCAAGGCGACGAUCCAUAGCUGGUCUGAGAGGAUGAUCAGCCACACUGGGACUGAGACACGGCCCAGACUCCUACGGGAGGCAGCAGUGGGGAAUAUUGGACAAUGGGCGAAAGCCUGAUCCAGCAAUGCCGCGUGAGUGAUGAAGGCCUUAGGGUUGUAAAGCUCUUUUACCCGGGAUGAUAAUGACAGUACCGGGAGAAUAAGCUCCGGCUAACUCCG